rnacentral:rRNA from 1 species
UACAGAGGGUGCGAGCGUUAAUCGGAAUUACUGGGCGUAAAGCGUGCGUAGACGGCUAUCUAAGUCGGGUGUGAAAGCCCCGGGCUCAACCUGGGAAUUGCAUUCGAGACUGAAUAGCUAGGGUACGGUAGAGGGAAGCGGAAUUUCCGGUGUAGCGGUGAAAUGCGUAGAUAUCGGAAGGAACAUCAGUGGCGAAAGCGGCUUCCUGGACCAGAACUGACGAUCAGGCACGAAAGCGUGGGGAGCAAACAGG